rnacentral:rRNA from 1 species
GAUGAACGCUGGCGGCGUGCCUAAUACAUGCCAGUCGAGCGAACGGACGAGAAGCUUGCUUCUCUGAUGUUAGAGGCGGACGGGUGAGUAAAACGUGGAUAACCUACCUAUAGGACUGGGAUAAAUUCGGGAAACCGUAGCUAAUACCGGAUAAUAUUUUGAACCGCAUGGUUCAAAAGUGAAAGACGGUCUUGCUGUCACUAAUAGAUGGAUCAGCGCUGCAUUAGCUAGUUGGUAAGGUAACGGCUUACCAAGGCAACGAUGCAUAGCAGACCCGAGAGGGUGAUCGGCCACACUGGAACUGAGACACGGUCCAGACUCCUACGGGAGGCAGCAGUAGGGAAUCUUCCGCAAUGGGCGAAAGCCUGACGUAGCAACGCCGCGUGAGUGAUGAAGGUCUUCGGAUCGUAAAACUCUGUUAGUAGGGAAGAACAUAUGUGUAAGUAACUGUGCACAUCUUGACGGUACCUAAUCAGAAAGCCACGGCUAACUACGUG